rnacentral:rRNA from 1 species
GCGGCGUGCUUAACACAUGCAAGUCGAACAGUACCUUCGGGUUAGUGGCGGACGGGUGAGUAACGCGUGAGAAUCUGCCCUCAGGAGGGGGAUAACAGUUGGAAACGACUGCUAAUACCCCAUAUGCCGAGAGGUGAAACGAAUUUUGCCUGGGGAUGAGCUCGCGUCUGAUUAGCUUGUUGGUGGGGUAAAAGCCUACCAAGGCUUCGAUCAGUAGCUGGUCUGAGAGGACGAUCAGCCACACUGGGACUGAGAUACGGCCCAGACUCCUACGGGAGGCAGCAGUGGGGAAUUUUCCGCAAUGGGCGCAAGCCUGACGGAGCAACGCCGCGUGAGGGAUGAAGGCCUUUGGGCUGUAAACCUCUUUUCUCAAGGAAGAAGAUCUGACGGUACUUGAGGAAUAAGCCACGGCUAAUUCCGUGCCAGCAGCCGCGGUAAUACGGGAGUGGCAAGCGUUAUCCGGAAUUAUUGGGCGUAAAGCGUCCGCAGGCGGCCGUUUAAGUCUGUUGUUAAAUCGUGGAGCUCAACUCCAUCACGGCAAUGGAAACUGUUCGGCUUGAGUAUGGUAGGGGCAGAGGGAAUUUCCGGGUGUA